CUUUGUAUCCAAAGGUUCUUUUCCCUUAUAAAGCAAUGUGAAUAUUUGGUUAGCGAUUUUUUUUUCCCUUCUAACAUUAUUUCCCCCCAAAGAUACCGUCGAAAAUGACAUUUUGACUUCCUUUAUUUGUUUUAUAACAGAUAUAGUGUCAAAUUGAGAGCAAAUAAGAGUCGUCUUCCUGAAGCUCCUUUUAGAGACCAUCGAAAAUACAUGGAAUCUGUUUGCUUGAUUUUAAACCCCCAAAUGUGAACAUCAUUCUCAAGUUAAAGCUGUCCCUGAGGACGGAUGACAUGUGAUCUAACAGCUGUGGUACUCGGUCUCAGAAUGACCGAAUGAAAAAUACCAUGGUAAGCCGUGAGAAAUAGCGAAAGUCGUAUAUCCCAAACACCAUUCUGCAGCGAAACGGAGGGGUUUGGAACGACUGGAAAUACUUCCACCCCAGGAAUUUCCAGGACAUCUGGUGAGAUUCUAGACGGAGCCAGGCAGACUGCACCUACAGAUGGCAUGAGUGAGUGUCAGCAAAUGCCCAGGACACUGCUGUGGGCAGCUAAAGAGCUUCACAGGAGAACCUGCACCUUUCACUGGCCAGGCAGCUCACUCACCAAGUCCCUAACGUGAGUUUCUGGGGAAAGCCCU